ACGAACGCUGGCGGCGUGCUUAACACAUGCACGUCGAACGGAAAGGCCCUGCUUUUGUGGGGUGCUCGAGUGGCGAACGGGUGAGUAACACGUGAGUAACCUGCCCUUGACUUUGGGAUAACUUCAGGAAGCUGGGGCUAAUACCGGAUAGGAGCUCCUGCUGCAUGGUGGGGGUUGGAAAGUUUCGGCGGUUGGGGAUGGACUCGCGGCUUAUCAGCUUGUUGGUGGGGUAGUGGCUUACCAAGGCUUUGACGGGUAGCCGGCCUGAGAGGGUGACCGGCCACAUUGGGACUGAGAUACGGCCCAGACUCCUACGGGAGGCAGCAGUGGGGAAUAUUGCACAAUGGGCGGAAGCCUGAUGCAGCAACGCCGCGUGCGGGAUGACGGCCUUCGGGUUGUAAACCGCUUUCGCCUGUGACGAAGCGUGAGUGACGGUAAUGGGUAAAGAAGCACCGGCUAACUACGUG
rnacentral:rRNA from 1 species